rnacentral:rRNA from 1 species
UACGUAGGGGCAAGCGUUGUCCGGAAUCAUUGGGCGUAAAGAGCGCGUAGGCGGCCCGGUAAGUCCGCUGUAAAAGUCCAGGGCUCAACCCUGGAAGCCGGUGGAUACUGUCGGGCUAGAGUCCGGAAGAGGCGAGUGGAAUUCCUGGUGUAGCGGUGGAAUGCGCAGAUAUCAGGAGGAACACCGAUGGCGAAGGCAGCUCGCUGGGACGGUACUGACGCUGAGGCGCGAAAGGCGUGGGGAGCGAACAGG